rnacentral:rRNA from 1 species
UACGGGGGGGGCAAGCGUUGUUCGGAAUUACUGGGCGUAAGGGGCUCGUAGGUUGCCAACUAAGUCAGACGUGAAAUCCCUCGGCUUAACCGGGGAACUGCGUCUGAUACUGGAUGGCUUGAGUUCGGGAGAGGGAUGCGGAAUUCCAGGUGUAGCGGUGAAAUGCGUAGAUAUCUGGAGGAACACCGGUGGCGAAGGCGGCAUCCUGGACCGACACUGACACUGAGGAGCGAAAGCCAGGGGAGCAAACGGG